UCCCUCGCUCGGACUCGCGCGCGCUCCGCCCCAGCCUCCAGUGCCCAGCCGCCCGCCGUUUGUUGUGGCAGAUGUUCUCUGUGCCAUGGCAACGCCAGAACAGGAUGUACCUCUGGAUCGCGGCAGGGACAAGCCCACGCUCACGGGCCGCCCACGCCGUGCCCUUCCCGGAAGGCUUGUUGCGAAGAACCACGCGGGUCCGGGUCAGGGCGCGUGGGGGUGGGUAGGGACGGAUGUUUGUAUCUGCGGAGAGGGAGGCAGAGCCAGCGUCCUCCCAGGGGUCAGGGCGGGGGACGGGGAGCAUGUGUGUGCACAUCCCGGCGAGUACCCCCGCCCACUCCGGUGAGCUUGGCUUUGCUUCCUUCCCUCUGCCCUCCUGAGCGAAGCCCUGGAAGCCCGGUGGGGAGGGAGGGGCGCCGUCCAUCAGCAGCGUCUGAUCUGUGGGCCCCUGACCAGAGACCAGUCCCACUGAAGGAUUACUUUGUGUCAGGACCUGUGCUAAGUGCUUUAUGUGACAAAUAACAGUACGAUUCAGGGGUGCAUGCUCUGUGCUCCUCUUUUAUCACAUCACUGGGAGGUUAUUUUUGUUCUUCAUCUUGAGAAACUGGGGCCCAGGGAGGUGAAGUCACUUUGCUCCAGGUCACAGAAUAGGGCCCAACGCAAAAUGAAAAGGCCUGGCCUUUGUCGAAGAAUUACAGGGAUUUCAGAAGAGCGACAGUGGAGAGUUAGAAACGUCGCGAUGCCCUUGUAAAUGCAGAGUCCUGUGCCGCCGACCACGAGGCAGCCCUAAGUGCUGCCCUGCCACCCCAGAUGCCCAGAGGGAGGGCCUGGGCAGCCCAGAGAAGCUCACAGCGCAGGGCAGGGAGGCACUGCCAUCCGGGAGUGCUCUGUCCGUUCCAGGGGCCCGUGCCAGCUCAUCAGAGGGGAGCAAAGACCUUCCCCCCAAGAUGCCUAACUGAGUCCCCUGGAACCAGGAGCCCCGGGGGUUGCUGUGAAUUGUAACUCAAUACAAAAGCAUCCUUUCAUUA